CCUACGGGUGGCAGCAGUCGAGAAUCAUUCACAAUGGGGGAAACCCUGAUGGUGCGACGCCGCGUGGGGGAAUGAAGGUCUUCGGUUUUUAAACCCCUGUCAUGUGGAUGCACAUUAAAAAGAUAGCCCCACAAGAAGCAGCGACGGCUAACUCUGUGCCAGCCGCCGCGGUACUACAGAGGUAGCAAGCGUUGUUCGGAAGCACUGGGCGUAAAGCGUGCGUAGGUGGUUUAGUUAGUCGUGUGUGAAAGGCGCGGGCUCAACCCGCGGACGGCAGAUGAUACUGCUAGACUAGAGUAAUGGAGGGGGAACUGGAAUUCUCGGUGUAGCAGUGGAAUGCGUAGAUAUCGAGAGGAACACUCGUGGCGAAGGCGGGUUCCUGGACAUUAACUGACGCUGAGGCACGAAGGCCAGGGGAGCGAAAGGGAUUAGAUACCCGGGUAGUC
rnacentral:rRNA from 1 species